rnacentral:rRNA from 1 species
AGGACGAACGCUGGCGGCGUGCCUGAGACAUGCAAGUCGCGGGAGAAAGUCGGGGCAACUCGGCGAGUAAACCGGCGCACGGGUGAGUAACACGUGACUAACCUACCUUCGAGUGGGGGAUAACCUAGGGAAACCUGGGCUAAUACCGCAUAACAUCUUUGGAUCGGAAGAACUGAAGAUCAAAGGAGCAAUUCGCUUGAAGAGGGGGUCGCGGCUGAUUAGCUAGUUGGCGGGGUAAUGGCCCACCAAGGCUUUGAUCGGUA